AGCGCCCCCUCCGCCCACGGCCACCCGCGGCGGGCGCCCACGCGAGGCGGCACGCGCAGGCGCCGCUGCACCCUCCUGCUCCCUCGGGAGGCCGAGGGCUGGCGGCCACCAGCGAUAAAACCGCUGCAGCCGGUUGCUUUGGAGGGGCAACUGGGUGAGGGGGCUGGGGCAGGGCACAGCCACCACUCGGGAAACCUCCACCGUCGUGGCCCGGUUUGGCCGGGCGAAUCGCGCAGCGUCGUGCAGGCGCGUCCCGGGUCAGUCAGGGAACGAGUCCCCCGGGCGCGCGUGGCGCUGGGCGUACGCGCGCCGAAGCCUGGUCUCUGGCGUGGAAGGCAUGGAAGAGCCCUGAGGGUGAAGCGUGGUUAGAUGAACCUCGGGAGUCCUCUUCCACCAGAGGAAACGCUGCUGGGGGCUCCGCGGCCACGUUUGGAGCAGCGCUCUGAGGGCCCGCAGCUGGGCCUGGGGUCUCGAAGGUCCUGCCCGCCGCAGACAGGGCGACUGAGGAAACCGCUCUGAAGAAGCAAAUCGCCAGCUACAACCAAUUCAGACAUUCUGUUUGAAGCAGAAGCUAUCUGUGACACUGCAGGACCAAAGUCUUGCUCAUUUGCUAGGAGGACUGGACCUUUUCUCUUCCACUGAUGAUGAAGACAUGAGUAGUUAUUAUCAAAAAUAAAGUUAUUGUCUAGAGGUAUCUACCACUGAUUUGUUUGACCGUUGACAACUUACUUAAUUCUCUUGUACCUCAGUAAUCCAACUCAGAAAUAAUUCUUAAAAGAUGUCUGCAGAUCUGCUGAGUUUUACAGGUCUCAUCCUCUAAAUAACUGGAGCACCUCUAUCACACUUAAGAAGCAGAGCAGUAAAGCCCAAAAAUAUGAGACUGCACCAGCAAUCUGAAUCUUGGAAUUUGAUUCUCUGUUUGAUUCAACGUGUUACAAACAAACAUAUUCCACCUGUUACAACAAUCUGGCAUAUUACUUUCUUGAUACGUGAUGAUACAAUACCUCUCAGGUUUGCUGAGUAGCAAAGAGAAAUGUAAGCAAAUUAAAAGGUUUUCCACUUUCACAGGUUUUUGCUGCUUAGGGUUCUGUUUGCCUGAGAACUGUAUGAAUAGAAGCCAUAUUUUAUAGUAUUUCUUUAACCUCUGCCAUCUGGUGUAGGUUAGUUUUUCCACUGCCAACAUUUCCUAGAGGCCUCAAUAC